AUUGAACGCUGGCGGCAUGCCUUACACAUGCAAGUCGAACGGCAGCACGGGAGCAAUCCUGGUGGCGAGUGGCGAACGGGUGAGUAAUACGUCGGAACGUGUCUAGUAGUGGGGGAUAACUACUCGAAAGAGUGGCUAAUACCGCAUGAGCUCUACGGAUGAAAGCAGGGGAUAGCAAUACCUGGUGCUACUAGAGCGGCUGAUGGCAGAUUAGGUAGUUGGUGGGAUAAAAGCUUACCAAGUGGACGAUGUGUAGCUGGUCUGAGAGGACGAUCAACCACACUGGGACUGAGAACCGGCGCAGACACCUACGGGAGGCCGCAGUGGGGAAUUUUGGACAAUGGGCGCAAGCCUGAUCCAGCAAUGCCGCGUGCAGGAUGAAGGCCUUCGGGUUGUAAACUGCUUUUGUACGGAACGAAAAGCCCUGGGUUAAUCCCCUGGGGUCAUGACGGUACCGUAAGAAUAAGCACCGGCUAACUACGUGCCAGCAGCCGCCGUAACAC
rnacentral:rRNA from 1 species